rnacentral:rRNA from 1 species
UACGUAGGGUGCGAGCGUUGUCCGGAAUUACUGGGCGUAAAGCGUGCGUAGGUGGUUUGUUAAGUCUGUUGUGAAAGCCCCGGGCUCAACCUGGGAAUGGCAAUGGAUACUGGCAGGCUAGAGUGCGGUAGAGGGUAGUGGAAUUCCCGGUGUAGCGGUGAAAUGCGUAGAGAUCGGGAGGAACACCAGUGGCGAAGGCGGCUACCUGGACCAGCACUGACACUGAGGCACGAAAGCGUGGGGAGCAAACAGG